GACGAACGCUGGCGGCGUGCUUAACACAUGCAAGUCGAACGGAAAGGCCCUGCUUGCAGGGUGCUCGAGUGGCUAACGGGUGAGUAACACGUGGGUGAUCUGCCCCUUACUUUGGGAUAAGCCUGGGAAACUGGGUCUAAUACUGGAUAGGACCAUGCUGUAGGUGGUGUGGUGGAAGGAUUUUUUCGGUAAGGGAUGAGCUCGCGGCCUAUCAGCUUGUUGGUGGGGUAAUGGCCUACCAAGGCGUCGACGGGUAGCCGGCCUGAGAGGGUGGACGGCCACAUUGGGACUGAGAUACGGCCCAGACUCCUACGGGAGGCAGCAGUGGGGAAUAUUGCACAAUGGGCGCAAGCCUGAUGCAGCGACGCCGCGUGGGGGAUGACGGCCUUCGGGUUGUAAACUCCUUUCAGCCAUGACGAAGCCUCUUUUGGGGUGACGGUAGUGGUAGAAGAAGCACCGGCUAACUACGUG
rnacentral:rRNA from 1 species